rnacentral:rRNA from 1 species
CCUACGGGAGGCAGCAGUGGGGAAUAUUGCUCAAUGGGGGAAACUCUGAUGCAGCGACGCCGCGUGAGUGAAGAAGUCUCUCGGUAUGUAAAGCUCUAUUAGCAGGGAAGAAAAUGACGUUACCUGAUGAAGAAGCCUCUGCUAACUACGUACCAGCAGCCGCGGUCAUACGUCGGGGGCGAGCGUUAUCCGGAUUUACUGGGUGUAAAGGGAGCGUAGUCGGCAGCACAAGUCUGGAGUGAAAUGCCGGGGCUUAACCCCGGAACUGCUUUGGAAACUGUGCAGCUAGAGUGCCGGAGAGGUAAGUGGAAUUCCUAGUGUAGCGGUGAAAUGCGUAGAUAUUAGGAGGAACACCAGUGGCGAAGGCAGCUUACUGGACUGUAACUGACGUUGAGGCUCGAAAGCGUGGGGAGCAAACAGGAUUAGAUACCCUUGUAGUC